rnacentral:rRNA from 1 species
AUUGAACGCUGGCGGCAGGCCUAACACAUGCAAGUCGAGCGAGCGGCGGACGGGUGAGUCAUGUCUGGGAAACUGCCUGAUGGAGGGGGAUAACUACUGGAAACGGUAGCUAAUACCGCAUACACUCAGAUGUGACCAGAUGGGAGUAGCUAGUAGGUGGGGUAACGGCCCACCUAGGCGACGAUCCCUAGCUGGGCUGAGAGGAUGACCAGCCACACUGGACCGGAGACACGGGCCAGACUCCUACGGGAGGCAGCAGUGGGGAAUAUUGCACAAUGGGCGCAAGCUGGAUGCAGCCAUGCCGGGUGUGUGAAGAAGGCCUUCGGGUUGUAAAGCACUUGCAGCGGGGAGGCGUUACCCGCAGAAGAAGCACCGGCUAACUCCGUGCCAGCAGCCGCGGUAAUUC